rnacentral:rRNA from 1 species
GACGAACGCUGGCGGCGUGCUUAACACAUGCAAGUCGAACGGAAAGGCCCUGCUUUUGUGGGGUGCUCGAGUGGCGAACGGGUGAGUAACACGUGAGUAACCUGCCCUUGACUUUGGGAUAACUUCAGGAAACUGGGGCUAAUACCGGAUAGGAGCUCCUGCUGCAUGGUGGGGGUUGGAAAGUUUCGGCGGUUGGGGAUGGACUCGCGGCUUAUCAGCUUGUUGGUGGGGUAGUGGCUUACCAAGGCUUUGACGGGUAGCCGGCCUGAGAGGGGGAACGGCCACAUUGGGACUGAGAGACGGCCCAGACUCCUACGGGAGGCAGCAGUGGGGAAUAUUGCACAAUGGGCGGAAGCCUGAUGCAGCAACGCCGGGUGCGGGAUGACGGGCUUCGGGUUGUAAACCGCUUUCGCAUGUGACGAAGCGUGAGUGACGGUAAUGGGUAAAGAAGCACCGGCUAACUACGUG